rnacentral:rRNA from 1 species
UACGUAGGGUGCAAGCGUUGUCCGGAAUUUAUUGGGCGUAAAGAGCUCGUAGGCGGUUCGUCGCGUCGGCUGUGAAAUCCCGGAGCUCAACUCCGGGUCUGCAGUCGAUACGGGGCGGACUCGAGUUCGGGCAGGGGAGACUGGAAUUCCGUGGUGUAGCGGUGAAAUGCGCAGGAUAAUCAGGAGGAACACCGGUGGCGAAGGCGGGUCUCUGGGCCGGUACCGGACGCUGGAGGAGCGAAAGCGUGGGGAGCGAACAGGA